GUCAAUCUUUCCAACUAAGUACCCCCGACUCAUAAUCGUGGGGUCGGGGGUUCAAGUCCCCCCCUCGCCACCA
rnacentral:tRNA from 1 species